rnacentral:lncRNA from 1 species
AUGAUAUAUACCAAAGACUUUUCUUAUCCCACUGAAGAAACACAGAGAGGGAGCGUUCCAAAGGACCACGGGCUGCCCACCUGGCAAGGAGGAGUCUCACUGUGCAACAUCAGCCUUGGAUGGGAGCCAGGGAUUCCAGCUGUCAACCUUCCAACAGAGGGGAAGGGCUGCCCGCUAAAGUAGGAAACCAGAACGUCUCAGAGAAGUGAGGAUGUCUUUGGGAAUUGCACACCGGCUCCGCUGCAAAGUUUAGCUUCUCCAAUUCAAUCCAAUGCAAGAGAGAAGUGUUGAGUACUUUCUGUGUGUCAAGUGCAAGGUACAGAGGAUUUCCCUGACUUUAUUUUAGGGAAAAAGCUCAUUGUCUGGCUAUAAAAUGACUAAAAUUAGCCAAUCUGUAAAAUAGUGUCAACAAGGACUAUCUCUUUGCGACAGGCACAAUACUAUACGUUCACCAAAUCUAGUUUGUUCUCUUUCUGGGCACACAGCUAGACAAGAUUUCUUAGCUUCACCUGAAGUGCCCACAUGACUGAGCUCAGGCUAAUAGAAUGUGCAUGGAAGGGUUGAGUGCUGCUUCCAGGCCUGGCCUCUGAAACUUUUCCCACAAUCCUCCAUGCCUUGUCUAUUCCUCCUCAGCCAGCUGGAUGCAAAACCCCAGCAGAGGGCUCAGAGGCCCUACAGGAGGCAGAGCCACUAGAUGGAAGAAGUGCAAAGAGCAAAGCCCCCAAGCCCAACACACAUACACACACGGGUCAUGUUGGACUGUGAUACGAACAAAAAUAAUCUUAUUGUGUUAAUCCACUGAGAUUUUAGGGUUGUUUGUCACAGCAGCUAAUGUUACUUACCCUAUCUAAUAUACUCGUGGGUUUCAUUAACAGAUGGAAGAGAGAAUACAUUUAGAGUGCCUAGUUCUAUGCCUGAUAUAUAGCAGGUGUCUGGCACUGUACCAGAAACAUAGUAGGUGCUUAAUAAUUGAGGAUUGUGAGAUGUGAAGCUGUUUGCUUUUCUUAGAGGCCCUAGAGGCAGAAUCUUUGCCAUGAGCCUUUGUAGCUGAUGAAAGGGAGGAAGGUCCCAGAAUGGAGAACCAAUGGAAACACAGGGACAGAGGUACAGGGAAGCUGUUGAAGAAAAAGGCACACGGGGAAAUUUUAAAUGGCGUAGAUCUUUCUAUCUGACUUCUUCAGGGCUUUGUUAAAUACUCCAAACCUGCCAGCUUCCUUGAGCCCCUGGCCUCUCUACAGGUCCCGAGCCUCUCUCUCUGGCAUGUCUGUUGGGCAUCCCUUUGUUCUGGCAAUUUCCGAGAGACAUCCCUCCUUCUCAGCCUUUGCCUGGCCUCUGGAUCCAGCCACCUUGACUCUUUUAUAAAGUGCCUACUAUAUGCAAAGGCACUGCAUUAAAUACUUACCAAGGCCAGGAGGUUGAGAGUAGUCAGCCCUGGUGCAAAGCAAAAAGAGAGUAUAUUGUAGAAAAUGUGAAAAAAAAAACAAUAAAACUAGUGUCAGUCUGCUUUUUAUUAUCA